rnacentral:rRNA from 1 species
AGCGAACGCUGGCGGCAGGCCUAACACAUGCAAGUCGAACGAUUGGCGGACGGGUGAGUAACAGGUGGGAACGUGCCUUUAGGUUCGGAAUAACUCAGGGAAACUUGUGCUCAUACCGAAUGCCUUUAGAGCGGCCCGCGUGUGAUUAGCUAGUCGGUGAGGUAAAGGCUCACCAAGGCGACGAGCAGUAGCUGGUCUGAGAGGAUGACCAGCCACACUGGAACUGAGACACGGUCCAGACUCCUACGGGAGGCAGCAGUGGGGAAUAUUGCACAAUGGGCGCAAUCCUGAUGCAGCCAUGCCGCGUGUAUGAAGAAGGCCUUCGGGUUGUAAAGUACUUUCAGCGGGGAGGCGUUACCCGCAGAAGAAGCACCGGCUAACUCCGUGCCAGCAGCCGCGGUAAUUC